rnacentral:rRNA from 1 species
GCGCAGGAAAAGAAACCAACAGGGAUUGCCCUAGUAACGGCGAGUGAAGCGGCAACAGCUCAAAUUUGAAAUCUGGUCCUUCGGGGCCCGAGUUGUAAUUUGCAGAGGAUGCUUUUGGCGCGGUGCCUUCCGAGUGCCCUGGAACGGGACGCCACAGAGGGUGAGAGCCCCGUAUGGUUGGACACCAAGCCUAUGUAAAGCUCCUUCGACGAGUCGAGUAGUUUGGGAAUGCUGCUCAAAAUGGGAGGUAAACCCCUUCUAAAGCUAAAUACUGGCCAGAGACCGAUAGCGCACAAGUAGAGUGAUCGAAAGAUGAAAAGCACUUUGAAAAGAGAGUUAAAAAGCACGUGAAAUUGUUGAAAGGGAAGCGUUUGCGACCAGACUUGCGCCCGUCGAAUCAACCGUCCCUCGUGGGCGGUGCACUUCGGCGGGCUCAGGCCAGCAUCAGUUUACUGUAGGGGGAGAAAGGCGCUGGGAAUGUAGCUCCUCGGAGUGUUAUAGCCCGGCGCGUAAUACCGCUCGGUGGACUGAGGACCGCGCGAAAGCAAGGAUGCUGGCGUAAUGGUCGUCAGCGACCCGUCUUGAAACACGGACCAAGGAGUCGUCCUAAUAUGCGAGUGUUUGGGUGUCAAACCCCAGCGCGUAAUGAAAGUG